rnacentral:rRNA from 1 species
AUUGAACGCUGGCGGCAGGCUUAACACAUGCAAGUCGAGCGAGCGGCGGACGGGUGAGUAAUGUCUGGGAAACUGCGUGAGGGAUAGGGAUAACUACUGGAAACUGUAGCUACUACCGCAUACCUUCAGAUGGGCCCGAAUGGUAUUAGGUAGUAGGUGGGGUAAUGGCUCACCUAGGCGACGAUCCGUAGCUGGUAUGAGAGGAUGACCAGACACACUGGAACUGAGACACGGUCCAGACUCCUACGGGAGUCAGCAGUGGGGAAUAUUGGACAAUGGGCGAAAGCCUGAUGCAGCCAUGCCGCGUGUGUGAAGAAGGCCUUCGGGUUGUAAAGCACUUUCAGCGAGGAGGCGUUACUCACAGAAGAAGCACCGGCUAACUCCGUGCCAGCAGCCGCGGUAAUAC